rnacentral:misc_RNA from 1 species
GUUUUAGAUCUGCGGGAAAACAAAGCCCUCUUUUUGACGGAGAGAAAUCAAUGGCGUCUAGGGUUUCGCUCAAGAGCAAAGGCAAGAGCAGCGUCGGGAAGGGAUCAAAGGGCAUGGAUGACAAAUCGACCACGCAGUGCUUGAAGGAGUGGAGCAAUUGGGCCUUGAAGAAGGCUAAAGUCAUCACGCACUAUGGAUUCAUUCCUCUAGUCAUAAUAAUCGGCAUGAACUCCGAGCCUAAGCCUCAGCUCUACCAGCUCCUAGCUCCUGUCUGAUCCAUUAACUUGGAUGCCACAUCGUGCUGGUUUGCCUUCUCUUUUGGGUCGAUGCCUAUUUGUCCGAUCUACAUCGAUUGGCUGAAGUUUUUUAUUUGGUUUAGGAGGUGUGAGCUUUAUGGAUUUUCUGUAAGUUUAUGGAUGAAUUAAUUAGUAUAAUAUGUGAAAAUAUCCAAUCUUAUCUAUGGGUUCUGAAUUUUUGGUUUAAUAAUAGAGAGUAUCUGCGUUUGCUUGAUUAGGGUUUUGGUGUUAAUUCUUUAGAAACUUCCUUUAGCAGUUUAAGAUUUGUGCCGCUACUCAUAAGCAGGAUCUUUAACUGUCACUUUGGCAACGCAAUUUUUCUUUUAAAUUCAAUUUUGUGCAUUGCUAUUUGGUAUUGGAGCUUAGAUUUGUUUGUGGAAUUGGCAUUUUCAAGAGCUGAAUGAAGGCCUUUUUUAUAAAAGAUCAUAUAGAGCAGUGUAUUUGCUUGAGUACUUCUCUCUGAUGGUCAGGACCUAACCAUGCUUUUAUCAAUGGGAAAGGAGGAAACAGAAUAAACAUUGGUUUGGCUAUCUAUCACUUGUUUUAUAUGUUGGGUUAAUUUCAUUUUGCUUGGCCUUAAUUGUGAUCUUUAUACGUUACAAAUUUGAUCGUGUUGAGAACUCAACUAAGCCUUAAUAUUGGGGUUGGUUGUAUGGAUUCUUUCCCAUCAUUUAGCUUGGUUUAAGGCUAAACUAAUGAAAAAUUCCAUAGCUACUAAACUUGUCACAAAUCAUCCUAGGUUGUAAAAUUAUUUACAAACUUUGUUCCACGACUUCCUGCCAUAAUUUCUUUGCGCUUUUUUGUUUGAUUAAUGAUCUUUGAUUGCCUUUAUGAAGUCUUGCAAGUAGUAUGUCUCCUAUUUUCCCUGCCUGAUUGUCAUUUCUUUAAUGUUUAGAUGUUGGAUAAAUAUAGCUUCAGCCCCCUUACAUCUUAUCUCAACUCAUAAAUUGAUCAUAUGAUAUGCUUGCUGAAUUGAUGUAUGUGCUUCUCACAAGGCGGCUUAUUUUUCAUUUUCUCUAAUUUUAAGUUGAAAUUGGAAGCAUGUAGACACACAAGUUUCAUUUUUUUUUUUCUGCUAACCUUUUCAAACAUAGGUGGUACACUGUUUCUCUUUGAUCUUUUUUAUUUGCUUGAAGCUUGUGGCUCUUUAAUGUCAUCUACUAUUUUUUUUGGUAAAUGGAUGAAGAAGAACAUCAAUAUUUAUGUUCCAUGAAGCCUUUAUGAAGCUUAGAUUCUCCUAGACUGAUCGAUGCCUUUAUGAAAAGCUUGGAUUCUCCUAGACUGAUCGGUUUUCAUCAUGUUGCCAUUUUGACUUCUCAUUUGAGAACUUUUCAAGGAUGUAUAAACAAGAGGGGUGCUGCUAUGGCAGUUUUUCUCAGGGAAUCAGUUAGGCUGCUGGAGCAAUUCAGCUUCUUUGAUUGUAUGGCGGCAUAUGUGUAUUUUAUCAUAAGAAGCAAUUCAUCUGCAUGUUUGUCUAGUAUCCUUCCCUUGUUUCUACACUUGGCUCUGUGUCAAGUCCUUCACAGUGCCGGAUUGAAUGAACCUUUUUUUUUAUGUUAAAAAUGCAU